rnacentral:rRNA from 1 species
UAACGCGUGAGGAACCUGCCUCAAAGAGGGGGACAACAGUUGGAAACGACUGCUAAUACCGCAUAAGCCCACGGUGCCGCAUGGCACAGAGGGAAAAGGAGCAAUCCGCUUUGAGAUGGCCUCGCGUCCGAUUAGCUAGUUGGUGAGGUAACGGCCCACCAAGGCGACGAUCGGUAGCCGGACUGAGAGGUUGAACGGCCACAUUGGGACUGAGACACGGCCCAGACUCCUACGGGAGGCAGCAGUGGGGAAUAUUGCACAAUGGGGGAAACCCUGAUGCAGCGACGCCGCGUGGAGGAAGAAGGUCUUCGGAUUGUAAACUCCUGUUGUUGGGGAAGAUAAUGACGGUACCCAACAAGGAAGUGACGGCUAACUACGUGCCAGCAGCCGCGGUAAAACGUAGGUCACAAGCGUUGUCCGGAAUUACUGGGUGUAAAGGGAGCGCAGGCGGGAAGACAAGUUGGAAGUGAAAUCUAUGGGCUCAACCCAUAAACUGCUUUCAAAACUGUUUUUCUUGAGUAGUGCAGAGGUAGGCGGAAUUCCCGGUGUAGCGGUGGAAUGCGUAGAUAUCGGGAGGAACACCAGUGGCGAAGGCGGCCUACUGGGCACCAACUGACGCUGAGGCUCGAAAGUGUGGGUAGCAAACAGGAUUAGAUACCCUGGUAGUCCACACCGUAAACGAUGAUUACUAGGUGU